UACGUAGGCAGCGAGCGUUGUUCGGAGUUACUGGGCGUAAAGGGUGUGUAGGCGGUUGUUUAAGUUUGGUGUGAAAUCUCCCGGCUCAACCGGGAGGGUGCGCCGAAUACUGAAUGACUAGAGUGCGGGGAGAGGAGAGUGGAAUUCCUGGUGUAGCGGUGAAAUGCGUAGAUAUCAGGAGGAACACCGGUGGUGUAGACGGCUCUCUGGACCGUAACUGACGCUGAGACACGAAAGCGUGGGUAGCAAACAGG
rnacentral:rRNA from 1 species